rnacentral:rRNA from 1 species
GACGAACGCUGGCGGCGUGCUUAACACAUGCAAGUCGAGCGGUAAGGCCCUUCGGGGGUACACGAGCGGCGAACGGGUGAGUAACACGUGGGUGACCUGCCCUCAGCUCCGGGAUAAGCCUGGGAAACCGGGGUCUAAUACUGGAUAUGACUCCAUGACGCAUGUUGGUGGGGUGGAAAGCCUUGUGCGGCUGAGGAUGGGCCCGCGGCCUAUCAGCUUGUUGGUGGGGUGANGGCCUACCAAGGCGACGACGGGUAGCCGGCCUGAGAGGGCGACCGGCCACACUGGGACUGAGACACGGCCCAGACUCCGUACGGGAGGCAGCGAGUGGGGAAUCUUGCGCAAUGGGCGAAAGCCUGACGCAGCGACGCCGCGUGAGGGA